rnacentral:rRNA from 1 species
CUCUCAGAACGAACGCUGGCGGCAUGCCUAACACAUGCAAGUCGAACGAGACCUUCGGGUCUAGUGGCGCACGGGUGCGUAACGCGUGGGAAUCUGCCCUUGGGUUCGGAAUAACUCGCCGAAAGGCGUGCUAAUACCGGAUGAUGUCGUAAGACCAAAGAUUUAUCGCCCAGGGAUGAGCCCGCGUAAGAUUAGCUAGUUGGUGAGGUAAAGGCUCACCAAGGCGACGAUCUUUAGCUGGUCUGAGAGGAUGAUCAGCCACACUGGGACUGAGACACGGCCCAGACUCCUACGGGAGGCAGCAGUGGGGAAUAUUGGACAAUGGGCGAAAGCCUGAUCCAGCAAUGCCGCGUGAGUGAUGAAGGCCUUAGGGUUGUAAAGCUCUUUUACCCGGGAUGAUAAUGACAGUACCGGGAGAAUAAGCUCCGGCUAACUCCGUGCCAGCAGCCGCGGUAAUACGGAGGGAGCUAGCGUUGUUCGGAAUUACUGGGCGUAAAGCGCACGUAGGCGGCUUUGUAAGUCAGAGGUGAAAGCCUGGAGCUCAACUCCAGAACUGCCUUUGAGACUGCAUCGCUUGAAUCCAGGAGAGGUGAGUGGAAUUCCGAGUGUAGAGGUGAAAUUCGUAGAUAUUCGGAAGAACACCAGUGGCGAAGGCGGCUCACUUGGACCUGGUAAUGAACCGGCCU